rnacentral:rRNA from 1 species
GAUGAGCGCUGGCGGCGUGCCUAAUACAUGCAAGUCGAGCGAACAGACGAGGAGCUUGCUCCUCUGACGUUAGCGGCGGACGGGUGAGUAACACGUGGAUAACCUACCUAUAAGACUGGGAUAACUUCGGGAAACCGGAGCUAAUACCGGAUAAUAUAUUGAACCGCAUGGUUCAAUAGUGAAAGACGGUUUUGCUGUCACUUAUAGAUGGAUCCGCGCCGCAUUAGCUAGUUGGUAAGGUAACGGCUUACCAAGGCAACGAUGCGUAGCCGACCUGAGAGGGUGAGCGGCCACACUGGAACUGAGACACGGUCCAGACUCCUACGGGAGGCAGCAGUAGGGAAUCUUCCGCAAUGGGCGAAAGCCUGACGGAGCAACGCCGCGUGAGUGAUGAAGGUCUUCGGAUCGUAAAACUCUGUUAUUAGGGAAGAACAAAUGUGUAAGUAACUAUGCACGUCUUGACGGUACCUAAUCAGAAAGCCACGGAUAACUACGUG